UGUUUAUUUUAUUUUAUUUUUUUAUUACCAAAUUAUCUCCAGAUAGUCGGAGAGUACUGCUUUUCUCAAAACCCAUUUUCUCACAUCUCAGGUGUAAACUAUCUCUAGUCAGGGUAUAAAGCACCUAUGAGAAUUACAUUUGUUUCUCUAGAUUUUCACAUAGCUCUAAACACGUACACAAAAACACAUAAAACAGAAACCAACAAAUCCAGACACACUCAACCCUUUCUUGUCCUCCACAAGCAGGCAAAAGAAUUAGACGAUGUUGGAGGGGGAAGCUUCCGCUUCAACAGAACUCGGUCCCUCUGACCGAUCUCCGGAGACAGCCAGGCAUCCCUGACUCUCCCUACCUCCCAGGGCGUCCCCCAGGGCCACAGCCUGUGGUCCUCUUAGCACGUCUGCCGACCACAGUCCUCCGGUCCUUACGGCCCAAAAGGACAGCUGCAAAUACAGAUGCGCGCAUUUCAGAAAACCCCAUCACCCCAUCGUCUACAAACACCAUCGUCCACUUCUACCUAGACAACCAAAACCAGAGAAUCUCACUUGUUUCUCACUCUGCCAGGUGUAAAACCAAAGCACGAGGUGGGACUCGAACCCACGAUCUCGUAACCCUGAAACCAAGACACAAAUUCAAUAAACUCAGAUGGAUCUAAACUCAGACUUUGCCGUUUUUCAGAAACAUAGGGCAAGACACAAACAACCCAACACAACAAGCACAUGUUCCAAUGUUCGUUUCAGAAAACAGACACUCAAAACAGAGACACCGGCCGGCACACACGCACGCAAGAGGGGAUCCCCAUACCUCCAAGUCGGUUCUCGGGUGUGAGGGGUGGUCGCGUUUCCCGGCCAACGCACCAAAUGAAAGACCCACAACGUGAGGACUCCCCCACGUUCUGACUCAGGAGAGGCGACACCCCAAAAACGUUGUUAUACUUUCAGAAUUAGAUCACGCGCAUAUUCUUUUGAGCUUCCCCCUGCUUCAGCACAGAUAAUUUAGUUGUGUGGUGUGGAUGAUGUUUUAAAAUGCUGAAAAUUUAAACCUUAAUUUGGAGUCAGUAUUAUAUCUCAGAGCUCACAAUUGCUUAAGAUUGUUUGACCCCCAGAUGCUAUUAAUUCUCAAAUUUGCAAUUGCUUAUGCAUAUACAACUUAUAAGAAAAAACGUAAUCCUUUUAAGAAGGCUGUUUUUAGACAUUUAAUAAACUGUUCUGGAUUGCCUAGACAUCUUAAAACAAUGCCAUGCUAGAUUUACCUCUCAGGCAAUCUAUAGGCCCUACAUAUAAGAUAGGUUAGAUAUAUAAUCUUGUUCUUUACAUAUUCAAAACAGUUGUGAUUUAAGAUAAUAUUUUAAUAUUCAUGGAAAUUGUGCAUGUCAAUUUCUUUGCCAUUAGCGUCCUCAGUUACUACUUGUUUCCACAUAAUAGUGUUAAUUCUGGAGAACUUAUACUUAAUAAAUUGCUGCAAAUAAAUACUCUCAUUUCUAAGUUAAUGAAUAAAUAAAUUAUGCACCUGUGACUAUUAACAACUUUUCAAGUUUUCUAGUUACAACCGCUCUUUCAGAGAAACAAUUGAAAGUGCUAUUAGUCACUGCCCAUGUUACAUGAAUACUGACUAUAACAGUCAAGCAUUUGAGAUAUUUUGUCAACAAAUUAUUAAUUCUCAAGGACAAGGUAUUGCAGAACUUUAAAACUUUAACUUUUUAAAAGACAAAGAAGGGAAAUUAUCCCCAUGCAUAUUAUUUAGUGCAUUCCCAUGCACAUUAUUUAAAUCAUACUUUUAUUUUAGAAUUUUGAAAUUUGGAUGUCAAAGAACUUAAUAAAUGCCUUAUAGUAUCUUAAAAGGAUCUACUUAUAGGCAUAUGGCUUGAUUCUGAACAGCUACCUUAUUAGGGAAAGGAAAAACAUAUGAUCUCUCCACAGAACGCUGCAGAAGCAUGAUGGCUAAUUUGUGUGACAAGCUGGCAGGUGAGUUGGCUCAGUGCCCUGACUAAUGUGACAAGGAAGCUAAAUUGGGUACAUGUUUUCGACCCAUCCUUGUUUACCAUUUAUUUCAGUUUGGACUAGUGAAGCUGCCUUGCUUCAAGCUUUUUAACUUUAUGGCAAAAAGAACAUCAGAGACUGCAAAUUCUGACUUAGAAAGAUCAGUCCUAUAAUAUAGUCAUAAUGAUUUUUCUCUUUUCUCCAUUGUGACCAUUUAUUCUAACUCAAUCUUAGACUGGUCUAGUAAUAAUUCCAAUAUUAGAGAUUCAUAUUGAAGAUAGCUAAAAUUCUUAAUUAUCUAGAAAAGUUAAUUUGGAGCUCAGACUCCAAUUCCAGAGAAUCUCUGGCCUUUCUGCUAAUUCUCAAAGCCAGCUCCCUCACACCUGGAGCUCAAAGCCUGAGCUUGGUUGUUGCUAAUUUGCAACUGAAUGGAGUACCUGGACUUCUUCAAAGAAGUUUUAUACUUUUGUCUUUCACAGUCACACCUUUGUUUUUCAAGCAGGUCAGUUAAUGCAGUUAAGCCUGUCUGCAACAGAUGUAAAACCUGGCCUCCAACAACGCAGGUGGCAGUUAUUAUUAUUGUUCAUCAAGAAGAAUUCUAAAUACAUAUUGUGGCUUUGGUCUGCUUUGGGAAUAUGGUGUGCGAUGAGGCCCUGACAGUCAGUUGAAGGGCAACCAGAUCACGUAAUCAUACCAAUCUAAUACAGGGGUACAUGCCAAAAGGUCGUGGUUGUUGAUAAGACACCACAGUGCCAUGUUUGUGUAAAUUAUUACACAUACAACUGCAUGUAGCCCCCUAUGAUGGAAUUGGAUGGUUCGGGAGGAUCUGAGAUCCCAAGACAGGCAGAGCUGCCAGCCACCAUAAUUCCAAGGCAUGACUUCAGAGCAUAAAUAAAUUUUAUGCCUCAUUCCAGUUUUAUUUAAUAUUAUUUAAAGGGGGGGAAAUAUUACCUCCUUCCGGCCUAGCAAGACUGGCUGAGACCAACUGCCCCUGAGGCAAUUCCACCUGCUGUGUUGCUUCUCAUCCCUCUCUUUUGAUAUGCCACUACCUGCCACCUGCCUGAGGCUGAAUCACUUCUCCAAGAUCUUCCAGAGUUAACAAGGAACUGUGAUUUUCCUGGGUUCUUAAUAAAAGGCUGAUCUGACAACUUCGAAGGAACCUUUUGUGGCUGGGAAUGGGCCUCCCCUCUUCUUUAUAAAGCGUGUUUGCCUACAUUAAAGUUGAGUCUUGAUC
rnacentral:lncRNA from 1 species